GAUGAAGAACGUAGCGAAAUGCGAUAAGUAAUGUGAAUUGCAGAAUCCAGUGAAUCAUCGAAUCUUUGAACGCACAUUGCGCCCGCCAGCAUUCUGGCGGGCAUGCCUGUUCGAGCGUCAUUUCAACCCUCGACCUCCCUUUGGGGAAGUCGGCGUUGGGGACCGGCAGCACACCGCCGGCCCUGAAAUGGAGUGGCGGCCCGUCCGCGGCGACCUCUGCGUAGUAAUCCAACUCGCACCGGAACCCCGACGCGGCCACGCCGUAAAACACCCAACUUCUGAACGUUGACCUCGAAUCAGGUAGGACUACCCGCUGAACUUAAGCAUAUCAAUAAGCGGACGA
rnacentral:misc_RNA from 1 species